UCUCAGGACACUUUCCCUGUCAUGUCUCAUGCCGGCCAAGGAAACUACAACCUUCUGGAGAGUUCUGUGUCUGAUUCAUGCUCACGGCCCCGCCCUCCUGAGUUGUCCUUCAAAUUAAGCAAGUUUCCAGGAAGCAAGAUGCCAUUGCCUCUGGGGAAACUGGUCUUUCUUUCCAGUGUGGUGGCCAGUGGGAGCUGCACCCUUAUAUAUUACCUUACACAAAAGGCUUUUUCCAAGGCUUCCUAUUACCAGCUGGCUUUGGAGCAGCUGCACCGCCGGCCCGAGGCCUUGGAGGCUCUGGGCCCUCCUCUCCGCGUCCACGAUCUCCGCCUCACCGACCAGUGCAACUUCGUGGACAUUGCUGACGCCCAGUUGAAGAUUCCUGUCUCUGGAUCCAAGUCAGAGGGUCAUCUCUAUGUCAGCUCAUCCAGAGGUGCCCCCUUUCAGAGGUGGCACCUUCAGGAGGUCUUCUUAGAACUCAAGGACGGUCAGCAGAUUCCCGUGUUCAAGCCCAGCGGGGACACUGACGGUGAAGGAGGAAAGCAGUGAAGGAAAUAGUACUGUGUCAUGAAAAGAGCCUUGAUUUCUAUUUGGAAAUCACCAUCUUGAGUACGUUUUCCAGGUAAGUUUACUUCCAUUUACCUUCUUGGGCAAUUGUGAACAGGCUGUGACUUGGCCAUUGCAGUAGACAGACAUUGUCUUUCACUGCUCUGAGUAUAGCAGUGCCGUGUAUUUGCAGCCCCCACUUCCUGUGUAUUCAGUAAUCGCUGUGACUCAGCCAUUGACUCCCACUAACUACCUUGUAAACAUUUUGGAUAAUGCACAUUGUCAUCAGAGGAAAAGGCAACUCUUGCCCACAAGCAGAAUUUGAGCAAGUGCACCCUGUACACUCAGCUCAGGGAUUAGAAAAGGGCUUCACUAGAAUUGUAAUAAUUUUAUAAAGACUGGAAGAGAGAGCACAGCCAACAAAGGGUGGUAUGACUCCCACAUCCUUUACGGGAUGUGGCAUGUUCACCCCUGCAAGUUGCCUACCAGCUGGCAUGCUGAGUGGGUGGGGAGGGCCUGGGGAGUAACAGGGUAUUAGGAACAUUGUGCCCGAAGAGUUUAAGCACCGGUGCUAAAAUGAUGGCGAAGACUGAGAUACAGAUUAGGAGGAACCCAAGAGGCAGUCUGGAGGGAGCAGUCUUAUGAUGGGCCUUGAAAUCUGAGAUUUCAGACACAAUAGGGAGUGGCCUACAGGAGGAAAGAGAACACCCAAAAAAAAAUAAUAAAAGGCCUCAGGAGAAAUGUGAGCUAUUCCCCAGAACUAAGAUACCCAUUUUGGUCAGGGGAUAGUUUAGCUGAAGACACAGUAAAGGAAAGCCCUGGACAGGUUAAGUUGGCCACAGCACAUGCCAGUGUUAGCAUUUUGCAUGCAGCUUGCGGCCAUCACAGAUUUGGACGUAAGCACAGGAUUGCACAGUUAAGGGAUGUUUAAGAGACUUUGAUGAAUAUGUCCUGACAGGGCUGAUUGGAUUUUUCAAAAAAUCACACAUUUUACUGUCAUUGAUUCCAUUUUUCUAGGAUUGGCUUCCUCCUACCUCUCUUCCCUUCAACCACCCCCCCCUUCCCCGAUUUAAUAAUAUCUGAUGAGACAAGGUUUUAUAACUCCUGGUUUUGGUAAAGUUGCUAACAGUAAAGAUGAAGAGGCUGAAAUAAAUUACAUGUGUAUGAAACAGCCAGAGCGUGACAAUGUACCUCUGUCUGCCGGCACAGCGGAGAGGUCAAGGUAAUGCUCAACAAGCAGCAGCACCGGGGUUUCCUGAACGCAAGCAGCCUUAGGCCACUUGACUGUUUGGUUUUCAGUGUGUAUGAAAAAUACGAAGAAAUACCAAGCACCUGUCUUACAAGUGAGGCAAUGUUUUUACCGCUGGUUGAGAUGCUUGAUGCUUGGCAAACGCCGUACACAGGAGGCCUGAUGGCUGCGGAGGUCAGGGAGGAGGGGGGAGGAUGAUGGGAAAACCUCCAGGCCCCACCCACAGGAUUUCUCUCCCCGCUUCGUAACCUAUACAUCUUCCAGGCUUGUCUUGUGGCCAACUUCCGAGUUGCUCACUUGAAAGUACAUUCAGGAACAUGUACAGAAAAACUGGCAUUUUACAAUCCAGGGUAGAAAAGUGGGGGAUGAAAAUAUUAAAAACAUGUCUCAGACAUAGGUGUGUAUCACAUAUCACAUAUGAUAUAUUGUGCCUUUUAUCAUUAAAUAAUAAGCUUUUGAGACAAAUUUUUUCCUCCACCACGUAACUGUAGUACUUAGUUUUUUUAAAAAAAUUAUUUUUUGAUAUCUGAUCUUAUUUGUUCCUCUUAGGCCCAGUCUCAUUUUGACUAGACUCAGCUUCUCUCAGAGAAGACAGCUUCUGUCUCUAGGCAGUCUGUUCUGGUGCUUUUCUUUGGCCUCCUUCAUUCUGUCAGCUAUCAGUCUGGCAUAUUCUGCAGCCUCUUAUUUUUUUUAGUGUGCUGCUUCUUCCAAGCAGUACACUGACGUUUGUGUUGGAGGUCACAUGGAGGAACAGGACACUGAACCUUGGGUGCUUUGGUUCUAGGUUUCCUUCCUCCUUUGUUUAGGGGCUUUCUCACAGCAGACCGGCGGACAUCAUUUUCCUUCAAGAGGUUGUAAAGUUUGCGGAUUCUGCUAGAUCUUUCCGGCUCCAGGCAAUGAGGCACCGUAGUAUCAGUGAUGAGGUGCUGCCACUGUGUCAGGAUGGGACACUGAGAACUCGUGCUGGGAAGAGAGCAUCGUGUGACUCCCAAAGAGCAGCCUGUGAAGGGACUGAUCUGAGUUGCUCAGAGUAUUGGGCACAGUGCACAGCACAAGCCUGGCGUGUGUACACAGUAGGAGGGGCGGACUGACUGCACUCGUGAGCAUCUCACAACUUGAGCCUAACGAGAUAAAUAAGGACACUACUCAGACUUUGUGUGAGAAAGAGAUUUAGUUGCUUCAGGUUAUACAGCGUACACUUUUACAUUUCCAUUGUUUUAAGUAAGAAUGUACUAUUCCCCAUGGGGCCUACAUACAAUUAAAGUGUUCAAUCCCAAUAAGUUUAAAUUCUACUGAGUAUAUUCUUAUGUCUUUAGCGAACAAGGCUUCCUCCCUAAUGACAAAGUAUCCAACGUCAAAUUUUUUAUGAACAAAAUAAAAGUUUAUAAAUA